ACACAUGCAGUCGAGCGCACCUUCGGGUGAGCGGCGGACGGGUGAGUAACGCGUGGGAACGUACCCUUCUCUGCGGAAUAGCCACUGGAAACGGUGAGUAAUACCGCAUACGCCCUUCGGGGGAAAGAUUUAUCGGAGAAGGAUCGGCCCGCGUUGGAUUAGGUAGUUGGUGGGGUAAUGGCCUACCAAGCCUACGAUCCAUAGCUGGUUUGAGAGGAUGAUCAGCCACACUGGGACUGAGACACGGCCCAGACUCCUACGGGAGGCAGCAGUGGGGAAUCUUAGACAAUGGGCGCAAGCCUGAUCUAGCCAUGCCGCGUGAGUGAAGAAGGCCUUAGGGUCGUAAAGCUCUUUCGCUGGGGAAGAUAAUGACUGUACCCAGUAAAGAAACCCCGGCUAACUCCGUGCCAGCAGCCGCGGUAAUACGGAGGGGGUUAGCGUUGUUCGGAAUUACUGGGCGUAAAGCGCGCGUAGGCGGAUCAGAAAGUUGGGGGUGAAAUCCCGGGGCUCAACCUCGGAACUGCCUCCAAAACUCCUGGUCUUGAGUUCGAGAGAGGUGAGUGGAAUUCCGAGUGUAGAGGUGAAAUUCGUAGAUAUUCGGAGGAACACCAGUGGCGAAGGCGGCUCACUGGCUCGAUACUGACGCUGAGGUGCGAAAGUGUGGGGAGCAAACAGGAUUAGAUACCCUGGUAGUCCACACCGUAAACGAUGAAUGCCAGUCGUCGGCAAGCAUGCUUGUCGGUGACACACCUAACGGAUUAAGCAUUCCGCCUGACGGAGUACGGUCGCAAGAUUAAAAC
rnacentral:rRNA from 1 species